AUUUAAUUUUGGGUGUUUCUUCGCAGAAUGAAGAUGGGAGGUGAGAUAGGCUGCGAGAAUGAAGAUUGAAAGAAAAAGGAGAGUUGAGGAGAACGAAGAUGAAAGGAAGGGGCAAAGAGCAUAACCAAGAGAAUCGAGAGGAGGAGAAAAUUUUCAAGAAAAAUAGGAGAAAAUUUGCAGGGAGAAGAGGAAAAAAAAUUUUAGGAGAACAGGAUAUGGCUAUCUAUUAAUUUUUUGGUUAAUCUAGGAUAAAUAUGGAAUUAAGAAAAGAUUGUGAGGGUAUAAAUGGAAGCAAAAUUUUUUACCACUCAAAAACCACCGAUUCGGUAGUUUGCAAAAAUGGAAAAAAUGGUGGUUUGGAGAACCACGCAAGAACAAUCAAAAAACCAUAUCAUGUAUUUGAAAGUGGUUACAAACAAGGCGAAACCAUCUCAGGAUCAUACCAUGUAUUAAUAAACCACAAUCCAAAUAACUUAUGAAAAGGCAGGGUGUCAUUCAAAAGCUUUCUCAUUCCCCUAUCUAACCAUUUAUAGAGAUACAUAACAAUGAGCAGAUCCAUAAGGGAAACUCAAUUUCAUGUGUGAAGCAUACAUACCUAUAUAUCCACUAUGAGGGUUGGCUGUCAUCUCAACCCAUCCUGACUUUCCCCUACACAUUCAAAACUCCACUACAGGUAUACUGCACCACGUGAAAGGAAAAAAAAACAACAGAAAGUAAUACACGUAAUACAAUAAUAAUCAUCUCAAAGUCAGGUAUUUGAGUAUGACGAUAGCAACUCAAUACCAUAAGUAAGCCUCGCAUGUCAAGUAUAUGGUAGUAUACAUCUCGACGCAUCUCUAAAUCUAAAGGCAUAUUUCCUAGACUUCCUGGUUCUGCUCUUGUUUAACCUAGUUUAUAAAUAACCACAACACGAGCUACAGUGCCCAAUAAGUAAAAUUCGACUCUCACACCAACAAAUAGAAAGGUUUACAACCAAAUUAGAGGAUACAUGCAUUUAUUCAGCCUAGGCUUCUAUCCCCCCCCCCCCCCCCUCCACAUCUAAUUAUUCCGUUUAUCCCUUUCCCUGACCCUUGGCCCUCCACUUCCUAUCCAUUUAUAUUCCAAUCUGUCAUAGAACAUUUCUUGCCCACUUUUUAUUCAUUUUUUUUCAAAUCUCACAUUCAUACUUGCUGUAAAUCUCCCCUUCUUCAUCCCAUUUUCCAGACAUCUGCAGCUUUCCCCUAUUUUUCACACUUUCUAGACUUUCUGCCUCUCCCUCUGCUUAAUCUCACUUUCUCAUACCCUCUCCUUUAAUCUUGGUAUUUCCUUACCUUCCCAGAUCCUACAGCCCUUUGUUUCAGCUCAAACUUCCCAGUCCCUCUGCAAAAACUCCCUGUCUCACUCUGUAACACCCCACGCCUUAUGUAUUUUCCAAGUUUUCUGCUCACUUUCCCAGUCACAAUUAUGGUGCUCUCAACCAACUCAACACUCUCCUGUGCAUACUUACAACAUUCAACUCAUACACCACACUCAAAUGUUCACAUACCCACCAAUUCCAUACUUCUCAAUAUUUAAUCAAAACAUGUAAACUGAAAUAAAGAUUAAAACAAUGGUUUCUGGGGCAUCAACCCCUUGGCCCAGCAGCUAGGCCUUAAUAAAACACACCUCUUCUCAAUUCUGGUUCACAGGAACAACAAAUAUCACCAUAAUCAUACCAUUCUAAUGGCAUAUAAUAUGCCAAUAGCAAGAUCCGGGCAUCAACCCCUGGACCCUAUGCAGAAGGGCCAAAGUCAUUCACAGAAUCACUCUUCACAAGAACUGACAAUAUUCACAUUAAUCACACAAUAUAAAUUUUCAAAAAUCCCACAACGAUCCCAAAGGAUCCCAUUUCGAUUAUAAAUAUUCGAUAUCUCAUGAAAUAUUCAAAGUCAACGAUACACAAUAAAAUCAAGCAUGCCAAACUGUUGAGGCUUCUGUCCCUUGACCCUAUGCAGAAGGGCCAUAGUAUAAUGUCAUUUACUUCUCCAAUGGAAAACACAGCAAUGCACAAAUAUAUUUAUACGAAUAUAAAUAAACCCUAAACACAUAAGUUUUUAAUGAAGCCCUCGGGCAUCAACUUUUCCCCCUAGAACACAAACCUCAACUUCAUUCUAUACUAUGUUCCUAUGCAGUAAAAUUCCUAGGAAAUUCUGUCGCAUCUCUGCUUCCACUCACGUAUUGAGACUCGUCCCGGUUUGCUCGACUUUUUUCUCCAUUUAAUCUCUAGUCCCAUUCUGUCUCUAACCCCUUCCAUCUUUCCCCUUUACUUUCUUUCGCUCAAGGCUUCACUAAUUUUCCACCGAGAAAACCCCAGAUCUGACCCUUUGUAAUUGCUUCGGUCAUCCUCACUCUCCAACUGUUUAUCCUCUCAAAUUUCUAUAUUGAGUCCCCUUUCUAACAUUUUCGAACCGACUCAAUACCAAGCUCAUAAUUCCAACACGAUGCUAAUUCAGUAUGCUAAUUCAGUGUUGUGAAACGAAAAUUAGACUUACCUUGUUUCGGAACGAUGGUAUUAUCGCCCCGCAUUUCACUCACCCUCUCCUCGCAUGGCCUCCUUCUAAGUUUGCUCUCCCUCGUUGUUUCGCCUAUCCUCUUCUUCUGUUCCCCGAAAUGAGAAGUUAUUUUUUCUCUCUCCCUUUCACUCUUCUAUCGUCUCUCUCUCUCCCCCUCUCUCUCUCUUGCGUGGCAGCAAUCCUCUCCUUUACCAGAAAGAGAGUUAGGGUUAAUAUUUAUAUAUGCAUCAUGGCUCGUCUGAUCU
rnacentral:lncRNA from 1 species